UUUUCCAACUCACUUACUCAUUUCAAAACCCUAGAUUUCUACUCCUAUUUCUCCAAAUCUCUUCCAAUAUCCUGACUUCUCGACGAGAUUCGACGAUGUUACUUUGGAUUUUGGUUUCGCUUUCCAGAUUCCUGCAAUUCUCUCCCCUUGAUCUGAUUUUUCAAUAAACCUACGUUUGUAACUGAAUGGUUUUCAUUUAUUGUGGUCCACACGAUGACCAGAUUGGCUUGAUUCUUUUUUGAUUUGCUGGAUGGCCUGGAUCUUGCUUGUGUGUGGACGGGCUAGGAUUUACAUGCAUCUGUAAUUUGCAAACCUUUUGUGAAGAAAGCCUAUUAUUGACAAUACUUUUACCUGCUCUUAUAUCAUGUCAUUUACAAGAUCCAUGCAUUUCCCUCUUGAAGUCGCUGGACAAAGUUGCAGAGGGAGUUUCUCCAGCUCUGAAAUUGCGAUCUGACAAUCUCUAAGACAAAGUUUUGUAGUUCUGGCUAACAACAAGCUUUCCAUUCCUUGUACCAUGUUAUUGCAAGAGCUCAUAAUUGGAAAUUGAAACAUGGCUGAAUAAAAGGUCAUGGAGAAAUUUAAGUUCCACAAUGCCCUUUUGUGUCGGGUGUAGUCUAGGGGGUCUGAGAUCAUGUCCCCUGAUCAGACUCUUUAUCAUCCAGUUUUAUCUUAUUUCAGUCAUGCAUGUAUCACCCUUGCUUUUACUUGGAUGCAUUUGGUCGAAAAGUAAAUUGAAUUGCAAAAUGAGGGGGAAAAUUGGUAAUUAAGGAAUUUUCGUAGCAUCAGCAAUGAGGAAGUAGCCCUUGAGCUGCAGUUACUUCCAGGUUUCAAAUUGCAAAGAAAUGAAAUCACCAUUUGGGUUUCUUUUGUGUUAUUAGACUACCAAUUGUUGCAAUUCAAUGGUGCACCCAAACGAUCCCUUUGACUUUUUAAUGAUUCUACCUAAUCAUGUAAUUGUUGAUUGAUUCCAUCUGUAUUGUUCAUCAGUGUGAUUUUGCUCUAUUAAAUAAUUUGAAAAUUUGGGAA